rnacentral:rRNA from 1 species
UACGAAGGGGGCUAGCGUUGCUCGGAAUCACUGGGCGUAAAGCGCACGUAGGCGGAUCUUUAAGUCAGGGGUGAAAUCCUGGAGCUCAACUCCAGAACUGCCUUUGAUACUGAGGAUCUUGAGUCCGGGAGAGGUGAGUGGAACUCCGAGUGUAGAGGUGAAAUUCGUAGAUAUUCGGAAGAACACCAGUGGCGAAGGCGGCUCACUGGACCGGUAUUGACGCUGAGGUGCGAAAGCGUGGGGAGCAAACAGG